CUUGAGGAGGGAGGGCAGGCUGCUUUGCAACUCAGAAGUUAAUAUAUGGGGCCGUGGCCGAGUGCACCGGGCGGCUCAUGGCCAACUUUGUUGGGAUCCCUGGAUCCAGCCGGUUGAGAAUCGUGGCUUUCCUCACCUGAAUCGCGUCAUCCCUUCGUGAUCCGGUGAAAUCUGGUCGAGCUCUGUUUUGCUAGUGCUCUACUGGGAAUGUAGAGGCUCCUUCAUGGACCGCUCUGGUUGCGGUCCCCCUUGCAGUCCCACCGAGGGAUUUGAUAUCUGUGAAAUGGAUUCUGAAGCCCUUAAAAAAUACUCCGCGUUACAUCCUAAACCUCCUGGACUUACUCUUCAGUAUGGCACCGCUGGAUUUCGCACCAAGGCCGAACAGCUCGAUCACGUCAUGUUCCGCAUGGGCUUGCUGGCAGUUCUCAGGUCCAAAGCCGUGGUAUCUACUAUUGGCGUCAUGGUUACAGCAUCUCACAAUCCUGAAGAAGACAAUGGUGUAAAGCUGGUUGAUCCUCUUGGAGAAAUGCUGCACCCUUCCUGGGAAGAGUAUGCCACACAAUUAGCAAAUGCAGAGGAGGAAGAAUUACAGAAAAUAAUAAUUGAUAUCUGCCAAAAAGCAGCAGUGAACCAGCACAAAGAUGCUUUAGUUUUUAUUGGUAGAGACACCAGGCCAAGCAGUGAGAAACUUUCACAGUCAGUAAUAGAUGGUAUCUCCGUUCUAGGUGGUCAGUACCAUGAUUAUGGUCUGGUGACAACACCACAGCUACAUUACAUGGUCUGCUGUCAAAACACCCAAGGGCAGUAUGGGAAGGCAAUGCUGGAAGGUUAUUACGAAAAACUAUCCAAAGCUUUUACAGAACUGAUAAAACAGUCUCCCAGCGCUGGGGAGAGUCAGAGGCACCUGAAGAUUGACUGUGCCAAUGGAAUAGGAGCCCUGAAACUAUCAGAAAUGGAGCCCUACUUUCCAAAGGAGGUGAUAAUUCACCUAUUUAAUGAUGGAACCAAGGAGAAACUCAAUCACUUAUGUGGUGCAGAUUUUGUGAAAGUUCACCAGAAACCACCUAGAGGGCUAGACAUGAAGCCCAACGAGAGAUGCUGCUCAUUUGAUGGUGAUGCAGAUAGAAUUGUUUAUUACUAUAAGGACGCAACUGGCCAUUUUCAUCUAAUCGAUGGAGAUAAAAUAGCAACUUUAAUUAGUAUCUUCCUUAAAGAACUUCUUGCCAAGGUGGGAGAGACCUUGCAUAUGGCAGUGGUACAAACAGCAUAUGCCAAUGGGAGUUCGACACGCUACCUUGAGGAAACACUAAAGGUACCUGUGCACUGUGUCAAAACAGGAGUGAAACACUUGCAUCACAAGGCCCAGGAGUUUGAUGUUGGUGUUUAUUUUGAGGCAAAUGGACAUGGUACAGUAUUAUUUAGUAAAGCUGCUGAAACUAAAAUAAGACAACUGGCAAAAGAGGGGAAAGAUGAUGAAAAAAGAGAAGCAGCAAAGGUGCUUGAAAACAUGAUUGACCUGAUUAAUCAGACAGUUGGUGACGCCAUCUCAGACAUGUUGGUUAUUGAAGCAAUCCUGGCUUUGAAAGGUCUGACUGUGCAACAGUGGGACGCCAUCUACGCUGACCUUCCGAAUCGGCUGCUCAAAGUUCAGCUCCAGCACACAAAUAAAUGGGCUGUUUCUGAUGCUGCAGGUUGCAGACAGGCGAGUUAUUGUCACAACAGAUGCAGAAAGGUGUGUGGUUACACCUCCAGGACUACAGGAGAAAAUUGAUGCACUUGUAAAGAAGUACAAAUUGUCACGAGCAUUUGUCCGUCCAUCAGGAACAGAAGAUGUAGUUAGAAUAUACGCUGAAGCAGACACGCAGGAGAACACGGAUGCCCUUGCCCAUGAAGUAAGCCUGGCUGUUUACCACCUUGCUGGUGGAAAAGGAGCACCGCCCCAGCCUAUAUAACAAACUACACAACUGCAGUUAAAGUUCAUAACUUGCCUUAUUUUUUAAUAUUACUUCCUUUACCAUUUGCUAGUGUGGACAUACCUGACCCUUCCUGAGUAGCAAGGAUCAGUCAGAACUGAGCAGCACAUUAUUCUGCUUAUUCUUUACCUCUGUUAGCAACUUACCUCUUAAUGAGAUGCUCUUGCUGCUGAAUGUUCCCCCCUUCCCUGUGUUUGUCCAGCUUCAGAAGCUGAAGUGACUUAGAGGUGACUUGCUUCUCCAGUCAGUGGCCUGGUCAUGCCCAGAAGGAAUUCUGCCCCCCACCCAGCUUAUUCCACAGGUUAUUGUCACCUUGUACCUGAAGUCCAACUGCCCCACGCCCAGCACGCUUACGGUCACUGCCUUUGACUCGAGCUCUGUUGUGACUGUGCUCCGCAGCAGCUGCAGAAACAUCAUCCCCACCUUCCCACAGUAACGCAACCAUCUGUGGGCAGCGUAAGGCAGAGGCUGGCACUGGGCUGGCGAGUCAGUUCACCUCACUUCAAGGGGGAAACAAUAUAAUGAAAAAGAACAUUUGCAAAUAACAUAUUAUUGCAAUACUAUCUUCAUUAGAUACUUUUAUCAAGUUAAAAAUAUUGCUUAGAAAGCAAUUUGCAGUAAUAGUAUUUAUAAUCACUUUUAAGAGGGAAGGGACAGAGACAAGAUUGUCUUCUGUGGCCCUGACUGUUUCCCAGCAGCGCGAAGGGGCCGGACCAACGGGAUGUCGUGUUUUAAAUGCACAGGUAUCCUGCUCCACAUAUUUCUGUUCAGGGUACCUACCUCUGACAAACCUAUUUUUCAUUUUAGACCUGUAUUAACUCCUGGCCUAAUGGCAUUUUCCAGAUUGCUAAAUAAGCACAAGUUCCAAUGGAUUAAAAAAAAAAGACGACAAAAAUAAACUGGAAACAAAUUGAAAAA